GCAUGGAUUUGGAUUUAUGGUAGGCCCGUCCCCCUGGACCUCUCAUAGUGUCCCAUGCCAGAGCAAACUGGCCCUGAACCAUUGCCCGGCCUCUUCUCCAUAGGUUGUUGGCACUGAAGUGGGUCGCACAGUA